GACGAACGCUGGCGGCGUGCUUAACACAUGCAAGUCGAACGGAAAGGCCCUGCUUUUGUGGGGUGCUCGAGUGGCGAACGGGUGAGUAACCCGUGAGUAACCUGCCCUUGACUUUGGGAUAACUUCAGGAAACUGGGGCUAAUACCGGAUAGGAGCUCCUGCUGCAUGGUGGGGGUUGGAAAGUUUCGGCGGUUGGGGAUGGACUCGCGGCUUAUCAGCUUGUUGGUGGGGUAGUGGCUUACCAAGGCUUUGACGGGUAGCCGGCCUGAGAGGGUGACCGGCCACAUUGGGACUGAGAUACGGCCCAGACUCCUACGGGAGGCAGCAGUGGGGAAUAUUGCACACUGGGCGGAAGCCUGAUGCAGCAACGCCGCGUGUGGGAUGACGGCCUUCGGGUUGUAAACCGCUUUCGCCUGUGACGCAGCGUGAGUGACGGUAAUGGGUAAAGAAGCACCGGCUAACUACGUG
rnacentral:rRNA from 1 species